UACGUAGGGUGCGAGCGUUGUCCGGAAUUACUGGGCGUAAAGAGCUCGUAGGUGGUUUGUCGCGUCGUCUGUGAAAUUCUGGGGCUUAACUUCGGGCGUGCAGUCGAUACGGGCAAUACUUGAGUGCUGUAGGGUAGACUGGAAUUCCUGGUGUAGCGGUGGAAUGCGCAGAUAUCAGGAGGAACACCGAUGGCGAAGGCAGGUCUCUGGGCAGUAACUGAGGCUGAGGAGCGAAAGCAUGGGUAGCGAACAGGAUUA
rnacentral:rRNA from 1 species